CACUCACACAAUCAUCCACAUAGAUGAAUACACUCUCUCUCACACACACACAGACUCACAUACUCACUCACACUCUCACACACUCAUCCACACACUCAUCUUCCAUCCCCACCCACACCACCUGUGUAGUUGUUGCUCCACUCACACACCCACACCCUCACACCCACUUCCCUGAGCCCAGGGACUUGGGCUGUUGUGGCUCAGGCCUGUACUGAGGCUUGUUCCCUUCUCUUGCUCCCUGUCAAGCUCAUUCCCCUUGCUAGAACCUUGGAUCCAUCCUGGAGCCCUUUGCCUGGGGUCUGACUUCUUGCAUUCUGGCACUCCCUGGGUACCUGGCCCUUGGCUCUCCUGUCUCCAACCUUGGCCUGAACAGGAGCUGGGAGGCCUAGAUUCUAUUGACCAGGGGCAAGGAGCACACACUCUGAGCCUCAGGACUCUUAUCUCUAAAAUCAAUAAUGUAAGCUAGCACAGUGGUUCUCCAAGUGUGGUUCCCAGACCAAGAGCAACAGGAUCUCCUGGGACUUAUUAGAAAUGCACAUUCUCAGGCUCCACCUGGACAUACUGAGUCAGAACCUCUGAGGGGUAGAGCCCAGAAACCUGCAUUUUAAUGUGUCCUUUGGGUAGUGCUGAUCCAGGCUAAAGUUUGAGAACCACUGAACUAGAAGAUCUCUAAAAUUUCUGCUAGGGACUAAACUUCCCAGACUUGCUAUGGGUAUUGUGUGGUAAUCAUGAGGGGAAUUAUUAAUGAAAGGCCUUCAAUGUGUCCCUUCCCUCCCAAACAUUAGCUCUACAAUCCCCUAAAGGAGGUAUCAUUAAAAGUGUUUUCCGGAUGAGUGAAAUAAGGCACAGAGAGGCUAAGUAACUCAGGAGGGGACACACAGUGGGACAUGUGCAAAAGGGGGACUGACAUGGAGCCGCCUCACUGUGUGAUCUCUAUGACAGUGACAAGUGCCUGACCUCUCAGCACUCAAGGAAUGUCGUUUGCUGGUGGUGCUGUGACCCCUGCGUACCUGCUCUUCCCACCGUAACCGGCACGGCUUGCGUCCACCACUGCCUACGUGAAGUACCUUCCAGCUUCUUCCCAUCCCUGCCCCCAGAUCCGCUUUCCUCUGAUUUCCACAGUAGUGAACACCGAGGCCUCCCCGCCACUCCCCGGCUGCCACGAGUCCUGGAGCCAGCCUGGCUACUGUAGGAAAGCGGCUGUCCUCAGUUCCAGACUGUCAAGGCCUAGAAAAAAAAUGCAUCCUCUCUCCUCAUAACCUCCCCUUAAAAGAAAACCUCCUGCAGGCAGAGGUGGAGACUGUCAGAGAUUCUACCCUCCUCACAAAAUUCCAAUACCGGUGGAAGAAACAAUGCUUUUGUAAUGUUUCCCUAGAUGAGGCCUGAGGCCUGUGGGCACUGAAUGGAAGGUGAGCCCUCUCCUGGGAUAGGUGUGUGUGGGUAGCUGGAUCAGCCUGAGGCACGCUUUGCCUCUUUGGGGUUUUAGAGAGGGGGCCUCAACAUGCUGCUAUUCUUAGCAAUGGCUGCUGGUCUGUCCCCCACCAGGAAGACCGGGGUUUUUUUUUCACUGCUCUGGCCCUUGACCACAUGCAUAGAGGUUUCUAACCAAUAUUUGUUGAUUGAAUGAAUGAAUGUUGUCCCAUCUACCGGCUUCUACCUCAUGGGGGAAAUGCGCACGCACGUGCGCACGCGCGUGCGCGCACACACACACACACACACACACACACACACACACGUGCUCUGGGGCUAAUGGAGGACAAGGAGGCCUUGACAAGGGGAAGGUGGUGAGGGGCCAAGACCAAAACGUGAGGGGCCGAGGGGCGUUGAGAAUGGGUCUCUGCACAGUUGAGGUCUGAAAAAAGAAGCGACGCUGAGGUUAAAGGAAAAGUAUCAUAAAUUGGAAAAUCGGGCCCGAGACCGGAGAAGGAUGUUUUUCAAAUUAUGGGUGAGGUCUGCUUACAAAACUUAUGAUUUGUGUCGAGGGCAAAAAGGUCACUGACGUGGCUUAAGAGGGCACCAGGCCAGCGCACUUUCCUGAGAGCCUGGGUUCACACCAGCUGUGGGGUUGCCUUGUGGCCAGGACUAAUUUGGUAACACGCAGAGGUGCACCAAGGCCGGGGAGGGGGGCCUCAUGGGCUGGACUCUCACCCGAAGUGACACGAGCUUCAGUUCCGCUUUCUGUCUGCAGAGAAUUCCUGCCCUGUUUGUCAUUUCAGGAAGGCGAUGCUUUGCAUCACGGUAUGCACGGUGCACCUUGCCCAAGACUGCGUUGCAACAUGACCAGGCGGAGACUCCAUGCCCUCUGCGACCAGAUGAAGCCUCAGUCCUCCUACCCCAAGCUCCUUCUCUUCAGCUGGGCUUGGCCCCUCCGUGUCAAUGGGCCAUCCGGAAAUUCCAUGACCCAGGGCCCCUGCGAUCAGUAGCAUGGGCUUGGCUCACCUUCUCUUGCUAUGCUGCCCACUGUCCUCUUCUUGGACCUGCUCAGGUUUGAGCUGGUGUGUUGCUACUGCCCUCUAGACGCAGGUAUAAGGUGCCUGCCUUCUGGGGAAAGUCUUCCAAAAGACGUGACUGCCAGUUGAUCCAGGAGCCGAACCCAGAGGCUUCUCAGCCCCUCCCUGUCCUUGGAAUGUGGGUCUCGUUACCCUCUCCUGCUCCUAGAGGCUACCCCAAGGACACAGCCUCCAGAUAAUGAUGUGGUGCUGAGAACAACUGCACGGUCUACUCGACUGAAUCCACUUAAGGCCUCUCUCUAUAUAAACUACUAAGAUCUGGCGAACAGGUGUAGGGAUCCAUUUGAUCCAUUUGAUCCAGGGAUCCGGAUGGGUCUUGUAUAAACUUUUUCAGUGAUUCUCCCCUUGCUGCAUGUUGGAAUCACUUGUGAAGAGCCCAAAGGAAUACAGAUGCCUGAUCCCAGCCUCAGAGGCUCUGAUUUAAAACGGGGCUGAAACUGACAACACAGGUUGGUUAGGAUCACCAGGCUGUGCCCGUGGGGUGGCUGUUAGCGGCAUGCGCUGGAGUCACCUGGGACGUCUCCUCUCCUGAAUACCUGGUGGUCGACGCCUGCUGUAGGCUGGGGCCUCAGCAGGGGCUACCAGGCCAGACACCUACACGUGGCCUCCCUGUGUGGCCUGGGCUUUCUCACGUCGUGGAAGCUGGGCUCCUAGAGAGAGAAUCCAAUGGGACCGGGGAAGCUAUUUUAUCUUGCAUGGCCUAGCCUGAGGUAUGACACGGUAGCCCCGCUCUAGUCACAGGCCCCCUUAGAUUCAAAGGGAGGGAACAUAGGCCCUACUUCUCAGUGGGAGGGAUGUCAACAUCACAUCAACACAAAAUUGUAAGAAGCUGUGGGAUGCAGGGCACCUGGGUGGCUUGGUCAUUUAAGCAUCCGCCUUUGGCUUAGGUCA